GCUAAGUAGGUCAAUUCUUGGGGUAGUGCAGUACGAGAUCAACCCGUGGGUGGGGUUGAACAAGCUCACAGCACCCAUCCGGCAUACAAAAAUUCAGGCCAUUUCUUUGGUCUCAAUUUAGAGACCUGUGCAGAGACCACACCGCAAAGAACAGAUACUACACGCGAUCUUGGCUCAGAAAGCUGAGAAGCGAU
rnacentral:snRNA from 1 species